rnacentral:rRNA from 1 species
UACAAGGCAGAUGGCUCAGUAACGCGUAUCCAACUUAACCUAUGGACGGAAAUACCCUCGGGAAACUGAGUAUAAUGCCCAAUAAAACAUUAUGCCUGGAAUGGUUUAUGUUCCAAAUGAUUUAUCGCCGAAGGAUGGGACUGCGGCCUAUCUUUUUGUUGGUGAGGUAAUGCCCCACCAAAACUAUUACAGGUACGGGCUCUGAGAGGACUAGCCCGAAGAUGGUUACUGAAACACCCACCCAGGCCCUAUGGGGCGCAGCAGGCAAAAAAACUUUGCAUUGUGCGAAAGCACAACAAGGUUAAUCCGAGUGGUUUCUGCUAAAACAACCUUUUGUCGGUCCUAGAAACACUGAUGAAUAAGGGGUGGGCAAGUUCCGGUGUCAGCCGCCUCGAUAAAACCACCACCUCAGGUGAUCAGGAUGAUUAUUG